rnacentral:misc_RNA from 1 species
AGAGUUUGGUUGUAGCUGGCCCCUAAUUAACUUGGGGGCAUGUGCACACCUUUCUCUUUCAUCCCAUACACACCUGUGCACCUGUGAGACAGAUGUUUUCUAGGGGGGGAGGGAACUUUAUUGGACCUACUCUUCCUUGGAACUCUCUGUCUACCUAAUCUAUAUAAACUCAAUUUAUUUUAAAAUGAAUGUAAUGGAUGUAACACAUCUAAUACUAAGUUUCAACAACGGAUCUCUUGGCUCUCGCAUCGAUGAAGAACGCAGCGAAAUGCGAUAAGUAAUGUGAAUUGCAGAAUUCAGUGAAUCAUCGAAUCUUUGAACGCACCUUGCGCUCCUUGGUAUUCCUUGGAGCAUGCCUGUUUGAGUAUCAUGAAAUCUUCAAAGUCAAACCUUUUGUUAACUCAAUUGGUUCUGCUUUGGUAUUGGAGGUCUAUUGCAGCUUCACACCUGCUCCUCUUUGUGCAUUAGCUGGAUCUCAGUGUUAUGCUUGGUUCCACUCAGCGUGAUAAGUUAUCUAUCGCUGAGGACACCCUGUUAAAAAGGGGUGGCCAAGGUAAAUGCAGAUGAACUGCUUCUAACAGUCCAUUGACUUGGACAAAUAUUAAUUUUAUGAUCUGAUCUCAAAUC